rnacentral:rRNA from 1 species
UACGUAGGUGGCAAGCGUUUGUCCGGAAUUAUUGGGUGUAAAGCGCGCGCAGGCGGUCCUUUAAGUCUGAUGUGAAAGCCCACGGCUCAACCGUGGAGGGUCAUUGGAAACUGGAGGACUUGAGUACAGAAGAGGAAAGCGGAAUUCCACGUGUAGCGGUGAAAUGCGUAGAGAUGUGGAGGAACACCAGUGGCGAAGGCGGCUUUCUGGUCUGUAACUGACGCUGAGGCGCGAAAGCGUGGGGAGCAAACAGG